rnacentral:rRNA from 1 species
UCGCCCUGUGUUUUACAAAAACAUUGCUUACAGAUUAUCAUUGUAAGUAAAACCUGCUCAAUGAUAUUUUCAAUAGCCGCAAUAUUUUUGUGCUAAGGUAGCAUAAUCAUUUGUUUUUUAAUUUAAAACUAGAAUGAAAGGUAUAACAUUUAAAUUUCUAUAUUUUUUAUAAAUUAUAAAAUUAUACUAAAUAUAAAAAUAUAUUUAUUUAAAAAUUAGACGACAAGACCCUAUUGAACUUUACUUUUGUUUAGCUGGGGCAGCUAAUAAAUUAUAAUUUUUAUAAUUCGUAAACAAAUCUACCUUCAAAGUUGAAAUCUAAUCAAGUUACCAUAGGGAUAACAGCGUAAUUUUUAUUUAAAGUUCUUAUUUAAAUAAAAGUUUGCGACCUCGAUGUUGAAUUAAAUUUUCUCUAUUUCGCAAUAGAAAUAAAAGUAGGUCUGUUCGACCUUUAAUUAUUUACAUGAUUUGAGUUCAAACCGGCGUAAGCCAGGUUGGUUUCUAUCUUUUCAUUUUGUUUUCUAGUACGAAAGGACAAAAAACAAUAUUAUUAAUAUACAUGUAUAUUUGGCAGAAAAUUGCAUUAGAAUUAGAAUCUAAUUAU